GCCUAUAUCUGAUGGUGUAGC
rnacentral:miRNA from 1 species